GCGUCCCCUUCCCGUCCCGGCCCGACCGUCCUACGAACGUACCCUUACCGGUAACCGGGGACCGGAACGGACCGAGUGGGGAAGGUAAGUUAGUCGGCCGAACUAGGGCGGAAGGACCGUGACGCAGCGACGCCGCGUCGAGGGAGNGAGCUCGGUGUAACUACUUUCUAGCAGGACGAAGCGAAGUGACGGUACCUGCACGAAGAAGCACCGGCUAACUACGUGCCAGCAGCCGCGUAAUUC
rnacentral:rRNA from 1 species